UGUCUAUCUCUCUGUUUGUCUGUCUGUCUAUCUAUCUCUCUGUUUGUCUGUCUGUCUGUCUAUGGAGUAAUGCAAAAUGUAUUUAGUCAGUUCCUAAAACAUAGUUCCUGUUCUCUUACUUGUGCACCAAAACACAGGCAUGAUGAGGAAGUGCUUGUCAGCACUAUGACACAGACGGCAUAGACAAAGUACUGAAAGAUUUUUUAUUUUCCUAUUAUGUCCAUAGAUAACACUGUAUAAGAGCAGUUUGUCAAGUAGGACUCUUGAUUCUCUGCUGUUAUUGUAAGAAAAUGAUUCUCUACAUAUCGAAUAAGAUUACUCGUAAAAUGAAUCAAAUCAAGUCUAAAUGGCUUUUCCAAAAUGGAGAACCUACAAUCAGAUGACCGUAAAGACACAGACAAGGACUGAAAAAUAGUGACAUUCUUCAGGAAAACUCGACAGAGCAAAGCUGUCCUUGUGACGGCUGACGGCGUGAACCAGAAACCCAGCUAACUGCUUCUCCAGAAGCUCCACAACAGCUUUGGCGUCUCCCUUCCUCGCAGGGCCUUCCAUCAUCUGCUUUACGCUCUCGUUGGGCACAGGCUGAGGGUUGCUGCUGAACGAAAUCACCAGAAUCAUGUCCAUAUGAUUGCCUCUCCCACUUGUCUUAAGUGUCUUUGCAAGUGUUUCUGGCUGAUGGCAUGAAAAGACUUGAGACCGUUCUUCUGUGAUGUCACAAGAGAGAAGCAACAGGCUAUAACGGAAACCGGAAGCCGCAUUUCCACCUCACAGCAACUUCGAGAAGGGUCUGGCUGCAGACCAUGGGCGAGUGGAGCUCCACUCUCAAACCGGAAAUACGUCACCUCCACUUGAAAACAUCAAGAUGGCGUCGCCGGGAGUACUUCAAACUUAAACUCAGAUCAAAUGUAUAUCAAGUGUUAUCCAUCCUCAUAACACCUCCACAAAUAGAGACUGGAACUUCUGAGCACCAUCACCUUGUCUGCUUUGGGACUGUCGUAGGAGAAUGAUGCAGUACUAUUCUGUGUUGAAUUUACCUAACGUCAGCACACAGACAUAGUAUUGUUCCAGUUUUGCUGUGCUCAUGUCUUCUUUGUGUCCCCAGCCCAGCAAUCAGAUGCAUCAGAACAACAAAGCACAACUGUGGUGGACCAGGCACCUUUAGCAACAAGUAAAUUGCUUUAACAUUAAUGAUAAUUAAAUGUCAAUAUUGUAAUUAAACUUGACCCAUCUGACGUAAUUGUUCAUGCCAGAGAUUUAAUUACACUGUCAGUCAGGAGCAUAUUUAACAGGAGGCACACUUCAGCUGGCUUGAUGGUGACUUCAGUAAGUGUGGUUGACCCUCUUGUUUUGUGGCUAUAAUAAUUAGACUAAGUAAUCUCACUCUCUUCCAUUUCCUCAACAUUACCCUUUUUUUUGUUGAUACUGAACCGGUGCAGUGAAGAAAUUUAAAGAGACACUAUCUAAAGUACAGAAAGCCGUACAUAAUCUCUAGGUGCAGUCGCCUACAGUGCAGCCAGCUUCACAAAGACUGUGGGGCUGGUCACCAGGAAAAUGGGCAACAGGGAGUGCUUUUGGGGUUUUACUCCUCAGAUGACCACCCUGGCUACUGUAGCUGGGAUUGCUUCACAGACAAUGGAGGUCUUGAAGAGUAAAGUGUGCGUGCAUGUGAACACAUUGUGUUAUUAAAGUAACAAUUAUGGUCACUUGCAGUUCAUGUGUUUUCAAUGUAGUGUAAGAUGUGUUAAUUAUUAUUAUUACUCAAAAACCAUUAAAACUUCUAAAUUGUGGAAGUUAUUCUUCA